GACGAACGCUGGCGGCAUGCCUAAUACAUGCAAGUCGAGCGAACAGAUGAAGUGCUUGCACUUCUGACGUUAGCGGCGAACGGGUGAGUAACACGUAAGGAAUCUACCUAUAAGCGGGGGAUAACAUUCGGAAACGGGUGCUAAUACCGCAUAAUAUCUUCUUCCGCAUGGAAGAAGAUUGAAAGACGGCUCUGCUGUCACUUAUAGAUGACCUUGCGGUGCAUUAGUUAGUUGGUGGGGUAACGGCCUACCAAGACGAUGAUGCAUAGCCGACCUGAGAGGGUGAUCGGCCACAUUGGGACUGAGACACGGCCCAAACUCCUACGGGACGCAGCAGUAGGGAAUCUUCCGCAAUGGGCGAAAGCCUGACGGAGCAAUGCCGCGUGAGUGAAGAAGGCCUUCGGGUCGUAAAACUCUGUUAUAAGAGAAGAACAAAUUGUAGAGUAACUGCUACAGUCUUGACGGUAUCUAACCAGAAAGCCACGGCUAACUACGUGCCAGCCGCCGCCGUAA
rnacentral:rRNA from 1 species